rnacentral:rRNA from 1 species
UACGGAGGGUGCGAGCGUUGUCCGGAAUCAUUGGGCGUAAAGGGCGCGUAGGUGGCCCGGUCAGUUCGUGGUGAAAGCGCGGGGCUCAACCCUGCGUCGGCCAUGAAUACUGCCGCGGCUGGAGCACUGUAGAGGCAGGCGGAAUUCCGGGUGUAGCGGUGGAGUGCGUAGAGAUCCGGAAGAACACCGGUGGCGAAGGCGCCACUCUGGGCCGAAACUGGACGCUGAGGAGCGAAAGCGAUGGGUAGCAAA